UACGGGAGGCAGCAGUGGGGAAUAUUGCACAAUGGGCGAAAGCCUGAUGCAGCUAUGCCGCGUGUAUGAAGAAGGCCUUAGGGUUGUAAAGUACUUUCAUCGGGGAGGAAAAACAAAACUAAUAAUUUUAUUUCUUGACGUUACCCGAAAAAGAAGCACCGGCUAACUCCGUGCCAGCAGCCGCGGUAAUACGGAGGGUGCUAGCGUUAAUCAGAAUUACUGGGCGUAAAGAGCACGUAGGUGGUUUUUUUAAGUCAGAUGUGAAAUCCCUGGGCUUAACCUAGGAACUGCAUUUUGAAACUGAAAUACUAGAGUAUCGUAGAGGGAGGUAGAAUUCUAGGUGUAGCGGUGAAAUGCGUAGAUAUCUGGAGGAAUACCUGUGGCGAAAGCGGCCUCCUAAACGAAUACUGACACUGAGGGUGCGAAAGCGUGGGGAGCAAACAGGAUUAGAUACC
rnacentral:rRNA from 1 species